GUAAUUUUUACACAUCUGAUUGACUAAAUUCAGGAAGCCAUUUAAGUGUACGCGUAUUUGUUACAAUUUCGAUCAACUCUGCCGUGCAGCACGGCAGAGCCAGAGUAAAUUGUAAACAAAUUGUAAGCUUGUGAGAAUCAAAGUUCAAAACUCAAAAAUAUUUACUGGGUACAUGUAAAACAAAGACCUAAAAUCUAAAUUCUCAAAAGUAG